rnacentral:rRNA from 1 species
UACGGAGGGUGCAAGCGUUAUCCGGAUUCACUGGGUUUAAAGGGUGCGUAGGUGGGCAGGUAAGUCAGUGGUGAAAUCUCCGGGCUUAACCCGGAAACUGCCGUCGAUACUAUCUGUCUUGAAUGUAGUGGAGGUGAGCGGAAUAUGUCAUGUAGCGGUGAAAUGCUUAGAUAUGACAUAGAACAUCGAUUGCGAAGGCAGCUCGCUACACUAUGAUUGACACUGAGGCACGAAAGCGUGGGGAUCAAACAGG